rnacentral:rRNA from 1 species
CAAUAGCGUCUAUUUAAGUUGUUGCAGUUAAAAAGCUCGUAGUUGGAUUUCGGUUAAGAGCGACCGGUCCGCCGUUUGGUGUGCACUGGUUGGUUUUAACUUCCUGUAGAGGACGUGCUCUGGGUUUAACGACCUGGACUCGGAGUCUACGUGGUUACUUUGAAAAAAUUAGAGUGUUCAAAGCGGGCUUACGCUUGAAUAUUUCAGCAUGGAAUAACACUAUAGGACUCCUGUCCUAUUUCGUUGGUCUCGGGACGGGAGUAAUGAUUAAGAGGAACAGUUGGGGGCAUUCGUAUUUCAUUGUCAGAGGUGAAAUUCUUGGAUUUAUGAAAGACGAACUUCUGCGAAAGCAUUUGCCAAGGAUGUUUUCAUUAA